UACGGAGGGGGGCUAGCGUUGUUCGGAAUUACUGGGCGUAAAGCGCGCGUAGGCGGACCUGCAAGUCGGGGGGUGAAAGCCCGAGGCUCAACCUCGGAACUGCCUUCGAUACUGCGGGUCUCGAGUCCGGGGAGAGGUGAGUGGGAAUUCCUAGUGUAGAGGUGAAAUUCGUAGAUAUCGGUAGGAACACCAGUGGGCGAAGGCGGUCUCCUGGGGGCAUUUCUUGA
rnacentral:rRNA from 1 species